rnacentral:ncRNA from 1 species
UUUAGUUAGAGUUUGAUCCUAGCUCAGGAUGAACGCUGGCGGCGUGGAUAAGGCAUGCAAGUCGAACGAAUCUUUUAUUUUCAGAGAUGAGAUUAUAUCAAGUCAAAGGUUUUAAAAGAUUAGUGGCGAACGAGGUAGUAAUACAUAGGAACACCCCCCUUAGUCGUGAAUAAUCCGUCGAAAGACGGACUAAUACACGAUGGUCCCUGAGACGCAAGUCGAUGGGUAAAGUUUUAACGCUAAGGGAGUGGCCUGUGCGAUAUCAGCUAGUUGGCAGGGUAAUGGCCUACCAAGGCGAUGACGUCUAGGGGCGCUGAGAGGCGGACCCCCACCGAUGGUACUGAGACACGGACCAUACACCUACGGGUGGCUGCAGUCGAGAAUCUUCCACAAUGGACGAAAGUCUGAUGGAGCGACGCCGC